GCGCCUCCUGCAGUGCCACAAUGAUGCCACCCGAAGGUUGCAGGAACAGCAACUCAUAUUCCGCCUGGGAACCCUGCAGCCCAAUGGUAUCAAUGUUGACUUCACCAGUUUCAAAAUCUCCCCUUCCCCCACCGCAUCCCAUUCAACGGCGUAUUGGAUAAUUAUAUGGAUAGAAAUAGCGUGCAAGGGUAUGAGGGGAAAAAAGCAGGAGAUUGGCACUAGGUGCUGAUGCUCAACUUCACAUUUUCCCACUUAAAUGAGUGAGCAAAACUCUGGCAGAUGGAGUAUUAAAGGGUGCAGAGGAUAGAGGUUAUGUCAUCCUCACAACAAACUUCUGUACCUAUUUUUGUGUCAUCUGAAAAUCCAGUCAUAAUGCCUUUGACCCCCUCCUCUAACUUACUGAUACAAAUCAUAAAAAGUUGAGAUCCCAUUUGUCAUAUGCUGCCAAUCUGAAAAAGACCCAUGUGUGCAUUGUGUUUUCUGCCAGCCAGUCAAUCUUCUAUCCAUGCUAGUAUAUUGCACACAGCACCCCCUCAUUCCUUAAAACUCAAAAUAAGAGUUCGUAGUAUUAUGUGGCACCUUGUCGUGUCUCUUCUGGAAACCCAAAUACAAUACAUAUCAAUAGGCUCCCCUUUAUUCACAACACGUUACUCCUUCAAAGGAUUCCAAUAAAUUGGUGAGUAGGAUUUCCCUUUCACUAAACCAUGCUGACUUUAUUUACCAUACCUCUCCAAUCCUUGAUCUUUGUCUCUCCCUGUAAUGACCCUCCUUAAAACCUACUCUUUAGUCAAUGCUUCUUAAUAUCUCCUCUAGUUCACUUUUUGUAUGGCCUUCAACAGACGCACAUCCUAAGGCUGUACAUUCCAUUGUUGACAUUCCAGAGAGGGAGCUGGAAGCUCUGUCACUUUUGGAUGUGGGAAAUAUUAUGUUGGAAAAUCUAACUUACCCAAGAUAUGACAGCCUCUCAGGCCUAUUGCAUUGGUCAUUAAACAGCACAACCAGUGCUGGUAUUAAGAAACAAGUCAGAAGGAAUACAAAAUAGUUUUAUUGACAUACCAGGAGUUUUAAUUUUUAAAACAUUGAAAUUAGCGAAAAUUGAGUCCAAUUUACACACAAUUCUCAUUAGCACUCCAAACACACAUCCAUUCACAGUACAUCUUUGAAUAAAAAUAUUUAUGAAAUGAAAGCAUCCAUCUUCACGUUAAAAAAACAAAGUAAACUUUUUUUCCAAAUAUCAUAUGCAAUGUGCAAUUCCAAAGAAACAAUCAACUAAUCAGUAGUAGUGGAACAUACAGACAGGUUAUCAGUGCAACGUAGGUGCUAUUAAUUCAAAUGCCUGCUUUGGCAUGCAGGAGUAAUGUUAGCUCAUGUCCACUAUUUGGGAAAUCUAAACUCAAAAUUCACUAAACUAUUCAAGUUGUUCAUUUGUGUUAAUAAAUGACACAGUUUCAGGUACUAACUUGCUUCUCUUAUUUGGAAAGUACAGAGCUAGGAGGGUUCUUUUCAUCUUCACUCACAAUUGGAUAGACAUUUUGCAGGGCAAUCCAUUCAGCCACAGGCUGGAUGCUAAUGAUGAAAAUCACCUAUAUCAUCUUGUGUCCAAGUUUUGAAAGAAAUAUUUCAACCUUCACUCAUCAGUACUUCAGGUACUCUAAACACAUAUCACAGCAUUACAGUAUAAAGAUUGAGGUAAAAUUAGGAGGAGUAAACCUAAUGUGAGUUGGGAAAACACCAACAAUUAUCCAGGAUCCUACAGAGUCAGAAUUCUGAAUUUAAGAAAGAAAUGACCCUGUACACCAUACAAGCUCUGGUGAACUCCUUCUAUUGGAUUCUUGGCAUUGGUGCUUCAACUUUAGCGUCAUGAAGCAACCAUAUAUUUUGAAUAGCAAAACUCACUCCUCAGAUGACAGUAUGCCAGUGUGGUGAAACUACAUCACAGGGUAGCAUGAAAGAUAAACUGGAACAAAUGGCACUUUAAAAAAACAAGAUAAAGGCAUUCAUCUGAAACGUUAACUCUAUUUCUCAUUCUAACGCUUUUGAGUGUUUUCAGAAUUUGGUUUUCAGAUUUCCAGCAUCUACAAUAUUUUGAAUUAGUUUUGGUGUCAUUGACCUGAAUAGCUUUAGCAUAGAGUGUGAAUCGUAGGCCUGAGUCCUGAGUUCCAUCUGCUAAUGUAAAAAAUGAAUUUUCCACUUCCCCUCUAUAUUUCAACUGCAAAACAAUAGCUGCAUUGUGAAAAGUGAAAUGGGGGAAAUUUGAUAAAGUAUUCAGUGAAUUUUUGUUUAAAAAGAUGCUGUUUAUAUUGUCGAAGCUUCAUACACUCAAAGCAUUUGAAUAAUGAGCCUGACAGUGACAUGCCUUUACCGUAAAGCUAAGGGAGGAGCAGUGCAUCUUUGACAGCAACAGUGAUUGAUUGCUGCAUUUGAUCACACAUUUGGUCUUGUCUGAAGUUGCUAAGGCAUUUGCACAUAAGUUAUAACAAAUUAUAUUAAUCUCUUGUUUUAACAACAAUUUUAAGUUUCCCUUUGCUAUUACUGGUCAAAUCUUCCAAUAACCAAACAUUUGCAUGUGACUUGACUGCAAACAUAUCAAAAAUGAUCUCCCACUGCAGUAAGCUAAAAGUAUUGGUCCAAAAACAUUUUUUAAAAUUAAUUCAUCUAUGUGCUUUUAAGUAAACAAAAUAUACAUUUUUCUUUCUCACUCAGAUAAAUGCAUUGAAUUUCAUUAGGGGAAAUCUGCCUCCAAACACAAUCAUUACACCAUAUGACAAGCUUUUGAAUUCUGGAGUCUCAUUCUUUCAGUAAUGUAGGAAUAACAUGUUGUAAACACAAUAUAGAUGUCUUAGGUAAACAUAAAUGCAAAACUGGAAUUGCCCAUCUAAGGCUUACUUGCUUUUUCUGGAAUUGUGGUAAUUUGUGGAAAGUAACACCAUGCUAUGUAACAGCAGCGAGGCUUCAGAAUCUGAAAUCAGAAAAUAUUUCACUUUUUAAAAAAAAUUUCCAACUGGUGGAGGCUUUAGUUUAUUUUCCACUAAUACAAAAAAACUAACCACACAAAAAUUUCUGACUCCAUUCUGACCACAGCUCUUACAGUUUUUUUUUCCCCCAGAAACCCAUGACUCUCCAAACUGCAUACAGGGCUAAGUAGAAUUUUCACCAAUAUCACAAGUGAGAACAAUCUUCACAAUGCCAUUAAACAGUGAAUCUGACCUCUCUCCCUUCUCCCUUAAAAAAAAGACUAACCUCAAAGAAAUGGAGAAACAGCUUAAAAAUUGGGCAAGUUUAAAACACUUCAAUACAGUAGAAAUGGAACAUCUAUCGACAUGAUACCGUACAAGCAAUACAAGCAUAUACCGAACAAACUAGACCUAACUGCAAAAAAUGCAAUGAGGAUAAAUUACCUCUAUUAAUACUACAGUAAGAAAGAGAAUUGACUAUUAGAAGGGUGGUCAUUUUGAAAGUUCAGCCCACUGUAGAUUGAAAAAUAUUCUAGAUUGACAUUCCAGUACAGUAGUGAGGGAGUACUGUACUAUCAUAUUAUGAGACAUUAAACUUAAGGCUGUAUCUUCUGUUUCCACAGCACUACUUGAAGAGGCGUAGGAAGUUUUCCUGCUGUCAAGAGUUAUUUCUCAAUAGGGCAGCACAGUGACUAGCACUGCUGACUCUCAGCCCCAAGGACCUGGGUUCAAUUCCAGUCUAGGGCGAUUGUCUGUGUGGAGUUUGCAUAUUCUCUCUGUAUCUGCUGGGUUUCUGUUGGAUGCUCCACUUUCCUCCCACAGUCCAAAGUUAUGCAGGUUAGAUGGAAUGGCCACAGUCAAUUGCCCCAUAGUGUCCAGGAAUGUGCAGCAUAUAUGGAUAAGCCAUGGUAAAUGCGGGGUCAUGGGGAUAGGGUAGAGGACUGCAUCUGAGUGGGCCUUUGGCCUUUUUUCACACUGUAGGGAUUACAAAUCAACCACAUCAAAACAGACCAUUUGUUCAUUCAGAUUACUGGCAUUUGUGGGAGCAAACAUUAUCUGUGUCUACCUCAGGCAUUUCUGUCCCCUCUCAUGGAUUAGCUGGGCAAGGAGCCUCCUCCCUACUUGUGGAGUUGAGAGUAGACAGAAGAAAUCCCUUCCUCAAUUUCUUUUUCUGUGGGGAAAAGGCUUGGUCUUCACUUGCUAUUCCUAAAUUACCACAUCCAAGAACGGAUAGUGUAGUUGCCCAAAACAGCCUUUCACCAUGGUGUCUCAGUUAAUUACGUAUGGAAUCAUGCAAACUGUUGUUAGUUCAGAGAAUUCUCUACUGGAAACAGUUGUGAAAAUAGAAUGGCUGAAUAAAUGGGAGGCAAAACUUUCCAAAGGGUAUGAGAAACAAAUUUAGUGAUAAUGCUUUCAAAGAGCUAGAAUAGGUACGAUGGGUCAAAUUCCAUCUUCCUGCAUUAUAAAAGUCUACGAUUUUAUAGUAAUCUAAAAGACAGCCAUCAUAUUAUCCGCAAUAAGAGGCUCAGAAGCACACUUGCUCCAUAAACUUUUACCUUUUAACUUCUUAGAAAGCUGGACCCAUUUGGUUAACCAUUCCUUACACUCUGCUGCGUUCAGUUGCACUGAGUUCAAGCCUCUUACAUAACAUGCCUUGAAAUCAGAACCACAAAACAAUGAUCAGACUAACCAUGCUCACAGAGACAAAUGGGGAAGCAAAUGAUAUAAAGUAUAAUGAAAUAUUUUUCUCCAAUUUUUAUAUAUACCUGUGUAAAAGUCAAAUCUCAGAGACCAAUGUUUUGGGCAAAAGUUUAAGAAGUCAACUUUUAAAAAAGCAGCAUUUGCAGGGGUUUGCAUGCAUACUUAAUUUGGGCUGCCACAGCAUCCUGUACAAGGAACAGCUAACUGCUUGUGGACUAUUGCUACUGUACAGAUGAAUGUACCCUAAUGAGGGAUGGUCUGCUGCAAUUGGACAGGUUCACCUUCAGUUGUGGUUAUGCCUCCACAGGGAAGGACUGGGUGAUGUUAACAAAGCAUCAAUUUAAGCAGUUCUUAGCGGACAAGCAGAUUCGCUACCAUUGACAUCACCGAGUGUGUGAAGCAUGGGAAUGGGUGGACAGCCAAUGGCUAUCGAUCCCUGAAAACCUAAGGUUGACUUUUAAAAGAGGUAAAGCCAAAAGUUAUGGGUUGAUUUUUGACACGGAUAGAUAGGAUAAAUAUAGCACAAGAUUUCCUUAUCCCAGUUUGUCUCAAUGCUUUGUAACAAUAACACUUCAUUGAACAAGAAGAGAUUCAUCAGAAAGUUAACAUUCUUGAAAAUAUAGAAAAAACAGCACUAUAUUCUGCUCUUGCCACCAACAGACUCAAGCCAAGCCCAGCACUGGUUUCCAAAUCUAAACUGCAAAUAGCUGAAUCUGUUCAAGACGUGCAUUCACCAAGUUCAGACAGGGUAGACUCAAACAUGAGUUCCACACAGAGCAUCUUAUGAUAAUGGUCUGUUUAUUCAGCAGAGUAACAAUUAAGUCCAUAAUGUUAGUCAUGUAUCAUUAGCAUGGCGGAGUAAUGAAAGAAAAUCCUAGCUCAUAAAUGACUCUUUUAAUGACACUAUCCACGUUUACAUUCACUCUGCAUUGUGCCACCUCUGCAUAAAUUUGAAAAGGACAUGGUGGGGUAUCAUAAACAAAAUCCAUUCACUAGGUCACUAUGAAACAAGAAGGUUCAAGAUGCAAAAAAAAUUGUCCCAUUCAGGUCCAUCCAACCUCACCCAAAGCCCAUGCUAUUUUCCAAGUGACAAUAGAAUUUGCUUCUAAUUCAAGGUACUUCUCAUGGUCCUACAACAACCAAUGUACAAUGUUACUUUACUGGAACGUGCAUGCCAUCCUUAACAUUGUAAGUGGCCAGGAUUGUAUGAUUUUGCAAGCUGUAUUGGGAUGCUUGAUGUCUCACAACAUGCUGGCCUGACACUGAGGAGGCCAAUACCUCAGAAUAAUGGCCACCAUGUCACUGUGUAUACUGAUGAUUGGUAAAUGCACUUUAUUGGCAGGUCAAAAUCAAUUUCCUGUCUCCAUACUCCUCCAACCUCACAACUUAAGAAAUCUGUGCUCCUCCAAUUCUUCCACCCCAUCAUUGGUGACUGUGCCUUCAGCCACCUAGGGCCAAAAUAGUUGAAUUCCUUCCUGAAAACUGCUCUUCCUUGCCUCCUCAAAGACCUCUUUAAAAUACACCUUCUCCAAACAGAUGUUCCUUCUUCGUCUUGGCCUAUAUUUUCAUUGGAUUAAAUUUCUGUUAAAGGCAUUAUAAGAAUGCAAGUUGUUGUUGAAAUGUCAGCUGCACACCAUCAAUUCUUUUUUUACUCACAAUCCUCAGUUCGUCCUCUGACAGGUUUUGAACACCCAAGACAUUGAGAGCUUGGUCCAAAUGAUGAAUCUCCAUUAUAUGGCUCCGGAGGCGACGGCGCAUGAUGAAGAAAUAGACUUCUUACAAGAUUUGAGCCACUUGCUCACCAUCUGGCGUGCAUUAACGUAUCGUAUUUCUAAUGGACGGCCCGAGAACAGCUUUGCCACCAAAUACAGCUGGGAGAUUUCUGGGUGGAUACCUUCCUGAACCUUCAAUUAAAUACAGAACAAUGUGAAAUUACACAAACACAUUGUCAGCCUAAAUAAAAUCAGCUUCCUACAUCAGACUCUAGGACGGAGGAUCAUUUUCUUCUGAAUAAGAUAAAGGAUGCCAUUACUGAAAGACAGAAUUAUUGCCCCUGUGCUCAAGGAUCAGGUAUAACUUGGGUUCACUGUAGGAUAAAGCCUUUGUUGUAUUUCUCCUCUAAAGCCUAAACUGAAAACAGCAAUCACAUUUGACAGAGAUAGUAGGAACUGCAGAUGCUGGAGAAUCUGAGAUA